rnacentral:lncRNA from 1 species
CACGUACACUAGGAGGAUGAGGACUAGAUCCCAGCCAUUAGAUACUCCCUAGGCAGAUAUUAGCAUUUCUGGUUAGAGCCUAGGCUAGAUAUCUAGUUCUCAUAUGUAUUUUGCUUUUAUCAUAUAUGUUUAAACUUUGAUUAAGGAACAUUGUAUCUGUUUUUGUUUUUGGGCAUGAAUGUACUAAAAUGUUCCUAUUUUGAUCAAUGAAGUUUAAAU